rnacentral:rRNA from 1 species
CGGAGGCAGCAGUGGGGAAUUUUCCGCAAUGGGCGAAAGCCUGACGGAGCAACGCCGCGUGAGGGAUGAAGGUUUUCGGAUCGUAAACCUCUGUCUUUAGGGACGAUAAUGACGGUACCUAAGGAGGAAGCCACGGCUAACUACGUGCCAGCAGCCGCGGUAAUACGUAGGUGGCAAGCGUUGUCCGGAAUUACUGGGCGUAAAGGGCGUGUAGGCGGCCUUUUAAGUCAGACGUGAAAACCCUGGGCUUAACCCAGGAACUGCGUUUGAAACUGAAGGGCUUGAGGACCGGAGAGGGUAGUGGAAUUCCCAGUGUAGCGGUGAAAUGCGUAGAUAUUGGGAGGAACACCAGUGGCGAAGGCGACUGCCUGGACGGCACCUGACGCUGAGGCGCGAAAGCUAGGGGAGCAAACGGGAUUAGAUACCCCGGUAGG